rnacentral:tRNA from 2 species
GCCCGGGUGGUGGAAUUGGCAGACACAGGGGAUUUAAAAUCCCCCGGCCAUAUACGGCUGUGCGGGUUCGAGUCCCGCCUCGGGCA